GACUAAUACCGGAUAAAACCCAAGUGCACAUGCACUAAGGUUAAAAGCUGCGUUUGCAGCGCUUUAAGAUGGAUUCGCGGUGCAUUAGUUAGUUGGUGAGGUAAAGGCUCACCAAGACGAUGAUGCAUAGCCGAGUUGAGAGACUGACCGGCCACAUUGGGACUGAGACACGGCCCAAACUCCUACGGGAGGCUGCAGUAGGGAAUCUUCCACAAUGGGCGCAAGCCUGAUGGAGCAACGCCGCGUGUGUGAUGAAGGCUUUCGGGUCGUAAAGCACUGUUGUAUGGGAAGAACGGGUUUAAGAGGAAAUGCUUAGACAGUGACGGUACCAUACCAGAAAGGGACGGCUAAAUACGUGCCAGCAGCCGCGGUAAUACGUAUGUCCCGAGCGUUAUCCGGAUUUAUUGGGCGUAAAGCGAGCGCAGACGGUUGCUUAAGUCUGAAGUGAAAGCCCACAGCUCAACUGUGGAAUGGCUUUGGAAACUGGGCAACUUGAGUACAGUAGAGGUAAGUGGAACUCCAUGUGUAGCGGUGGAAUGCGUAGAUAUAUGGAAGAACACCAGUGGCGAAGGCGGCUUACUGGACUGCAACUGACGUUGAGGCUCGAAAGUGUGGGUAGCAAACAGGAUUAGAUACCCUGGUAGUCCACACCGUAAACGAUGGAUACUAGUUGUUAGAGGGUUUCCGCCCUUUAGUGACGAAGCAAACGCAUUAAGUAUCCCGCCUGGGGAGUACGACCGCAAGGUUGAAACUCAAAGGAAUUGACGGGGACCCGCACAAGCGGUGGAGCAUGUGGUUUAAUUCGAAGCAACGCGAAGAACCUUACCAGGUCUUGACAUCCUUUGAAGGUACUAGAGAUAGUACUGUCUUCUUCGGAAGCAAAGUGACAGGUGGUGCAUGGCCGUCGUCAGCUCGUGUCGUGAGAUGUUGGGUUAAGUCCCGCAACGAGCGCAACCCUUAUGUUUAGUUGCCAGCAUUCAGUUGGGCACUCUAGACAGACUGCCGGUGACAAACCGGAGGAAGGCGGGGACGACGUCAGGUCAUCAUGCCCCUUAUGACCUGGGCUACACACGUGCUACAAUGGCGUAUACAACGAGCAGCAAACCUGUGAAGGUAAGCGAAUCUCUUAAAGUACGUCUCAGUUCGGAUUGUAGUCUGCAACUCGACUACAUGAAGUCGGAAUCG
rnacentral:rRNA from 1 species